UGGGCAGAAAAUUUGCUUGGGACCCCUCCCCAACUCUACCCCUUCCCCAAAUCCCCAGCCCACUUCUUCCCCCAGGUGCACUGCACUUCCCUCCUUCCACCUCCCUCCCAGGCUUGCCGCGCGAAAGAAGGGAGUAGUGGCACGCUUGGAGGAGGCAGAGCAGAGGCUCGCUGCACAAAAGCACAGGGAGGAAGAAGCGAGUAGCGGCGCAAUCGGAGGAGUCAGAGCAAAGGUCCUGUAGAAGUUAGCACUCAACAGCUGAAGAAUUUGUACAGACUUGCAUGUAGAAAUCGG